GCCCGGUACAGUGGUGUGCACCUGUAGACUACUGGGAGGCUGAAAUAGGUGGAUGGCUUGAGCCCAGGAGUUCAAGACCAGCAUAGGCAACAUAGUGAGACCUCAUUUUGA
rnacentral:sRNA from 1 species